AUCUGAAAUCCUAAAGUCAAAGGACAAGUUCUAAUUUUGGCUUUGUGUUGUCCUCUCAGCCUCUCUUGUCUGAAAUCCACAAUCCAGUUGCCCUAUUCAGUUUGGACUUUGGCUAAUAAUACUCAUAGUCUGCCCCUAAGAGAAAGACAAGAGAAUAUGGACUUAUUUGGGAAGAUGGAUGACAUAUUAUACAAUUUUAUGAAUUCCUCAAAAAGGUUAAACAUCCACUAUGUGCCAUGGACUAUAUUAAGUGGGUCCAUUAAAGCAGAGACAAUGUGUCCCCAGUAAGGAGCACAGUACUUGACACAUGGUGCACUGAAGUGCCCUACACUCCUCUCUGCCCAGAGAGAAGAAUGAAGCAUGAAGCCAAGAGAAAGAAAAGGACCUCCCUGCCUCCUCACAUACAGAUACGUACACGUACAGAUGAGCAUACGGAAACACAGAUCCCUGCAUCAUGACAUAUAUGCAGGCAUCCGUUCUCAAAGAAGACACACUCACAUCGGAGGAGCGUUGCUGAAGUUCCCACGGGCUUUCCCAUUCCUGGUCCUACUCUCAAGAGAGAACUUCUGAUUUCCAAGAUGGGCAUGGAAUGUGAAUCUGGAGCCACUUGUUUUCUUGGAUGAAGGCCAGACAAAGGUGCAUCACAAUCCCAUAGCAAAGGAUGCCUCCAGUUAUGUUCUCUGACUUUUCUCCGUGAUGAAAACCACUUUCUCUGUCUACCCCACAACAGAGGAGUAAUUUGGAGAUACUCAUGUAAUCAUCACAUGAUCUUAUAAUGGCAGUGUGGAGAGAUGAUUUUUAAGCCUUCAAGAAAUUAUCGCUUUAAGCCAGGUAGGAAAUGUUGAAGACCGCAGUGCAAUGAAUGGGGCAAGAGCAGUGGACUAGAAGAAAGAAGAUGUAUGUAGGAGAUAGUUCAUGAUCAAGUAAAUGUGGGGAAAAGGAAGAGAAAGAAUCAAGAAUCACUUCUAAAUUUUUGAUUUGGACAAUAUAAUUUGUAAUAGUACCAUUAAGUGAGUGAAAGAUUAAGAGGGGAAGUGGGUGUUAAAAUCCUUUCAUUGUGGGCUAUCGAAGGCCAUGGGUCUGUAGGAAGUGAGAUGACAACAGACAACUGGAAGUCAGAGGCAUAUGGCUGAAGAGAGAAGUUCAAAAUGGAUACAUAACUUGUGAUGAUAGGCUGUUCGUAAUUGUUGAUUCCAUAUACUUGAAUAAAAACAAUCAGGGGAUAUGCAAGGUGAGGCCUUCCAAGCUUGGAUCAAGGCAGAACGAAGAGUUGGAUAGAUUCUCCUGUUUCCCACACAGAAACCCAAAUCAAUGGAUCCAAGUUCAGCCCCAAAUCCACUGAAACAAUGCAAAAUUAAGGAAACAAGCCAGUGUACAAUAGUUUAUGUGUGUACACUGACUGUCAUUUUUUGAUUUAGUAUUUGUAAUAAAUGUAUAAUCUGUCAAAUA